rnacentral:rRNA from 1 species
GACGAACGCUGGCGGCGUGCCUAAUACAUGCAAGUUGAGCGCUGAAGGUUGGUACUUGUACCGACUGGAUGAGCAGCGAACGGGUGAGUAACGCGUGGGGAAUCUGCCUUUGAGCGGGGGACAACAUUUGGAAACGAAUGCUAAUACCGCAUAAAAACUUUAAACACAAGUUUUAAGUUUGAAAGAUGCAAUUGCAUCACUCAAUGAUGAUCCCGCGUUGUAUUAGCUAGUUGGUGAGGUAAAGGCUCACCAAGGCGAUGAUACAUAGCCGACCUGAGAGGGUGAUCGGCCACAUUGGGACUGAGACACGGCCCAAACUCCUACGGGAGGCAGCAGUAGGGAAUCUUCGGCAAUGGACGAAAGUCUGACCGAGCAACGCCGCGUGAGUGAAGAAGGUUUUCGGAUCGUAAAACUCUGUUGGUAGAGAGGAACGUUGGUGAGAGUGGAAAGCUCAUCAAGUGACGGUAACUACCCAGAAAGGGACGGCUAACUACGUG